rfam:Streptomyces rubellomurinus strain ATCC 31215 contig-194, whole genome shotgun sequence.
CUUCACCGAGCCGAGCAGCAGCGGCAGUUCGGCCGCGCGGCCCUGCCCGUACGUCGCCAGCAGGGCCUGCGCCUC